rnacentral:hammerhead_ribozyme from 1 species
AUCCAGUUGACGAGUCCCAAAAUAGAACGCAACGUGCUUCUUGGAU